GCUUAACACAUGCAAGUCGAGCGGUAACAUGACUAGUAGCAAUACUAGUUGAUGACGAGCGGCGGACGGGUGAGUAACACGUAGGAACUUGCCCAGUAGUGGGGGACAACCAAGGGAAACUUUGGCUAAUACCGCAUAUUCUCGAGAGAGGAAAGCUGCCGCAAGGUGGCGCUAUUGGAGAGGCCUGCGUCCGAUUAGCUAGUUGGUAGGGUAAAAGCCUACCAAGGCGAGGAUCGGUAACUGGUCUGAGAGGACGACCAGUCACACUGGGACUGAGACACGGCCCAGACUCCUACGGGAGGCAGCAGUGGGGAAUCUUGGACAAUGGGGGCAACCCUGAUCCAGCGAUGCCGCGUGAGUGAAGAAGGCCUUCGGGUCGUAAAGCUCUUUAGGCUGGGAAGAAGGUUGGUAGUUUAAGAGAUAAUCAAUUUGACUGUACCAGCAGAAUAAGCACCGGCAAACUCUGUGCCAGCCGCCGCAGUAA
rnacentral:rRNA from 1 species